UGAAAGCUUAUUGCGACUGUGUGCGUGCCUACACAUACUACUACCGACCCAUGACGUAAGCUGGAGACAGGUGUCACCAGAUUGUUCCGAGAACUACAGCUUUGUUACGGCGACUAAAAAACUGGUAUGUGCUCAUUUAGCAACGUUGGGCGGUACUCUUCAGUCGUGUGAUUCAAAAUGAGAAAUUCAAAAUGGUGCUUGAAUACACAUGACGUAGGCUGGUACCAGUGAUUGGCUGUUGUAUAUUUGCUCCGAGAUCAUUUGAAUAAGCAUGUGUACUUUUCUCAUUACGACAUGGAAGUGUCACGCUGUGCGUCACAUUUGAAAGCGCCCUCGCUUGUUUAGUAAACUUUACGAUGUGGUUAGGGAUACUUCGUACAUUAAUAUGUGUUUUGUGAAAAUCUCUGAAUCUCCCAUGACAUAAAUUCUACCCCAGCUUCAGAAGAUUACGGAAAAUCGGGUAAACGCAGUCCAACAACUCGGUCCUUGGGGCUGAAUCAGAUGGUCAUCAAACGGGAGCUCCGGAUCUGUCUGAACGUCUUCGUCGGCAGCCUUAUUACUUUGAUGCAAUCAGCUUCGUUCGAAAAUCCGUGGCAAAUGUCAUUGCAGAAGACCCGUCAUAAGCUGCGGAAGUGGAGGCGCAUUUGGGCUUUGCUGCUGACGGGGGCGGUGGUGGCGAGCCUUUGGCUGAUUUUUCGGCGACGGCGGCCCCCGGGGGACGUGCUGGAGCGGCUUCGGUUCCUUCCGAAUCCAUUUGCCGCGUCCGGUCUCACAAAUGAAACUGGUGCUCCCACGCCAAUCGUUCCCAACUUGGUCCAUUUCAUCGUCUUCCAGAAGGCCACGGUCAGCUUCAUCCACUUUGUAUGCGUUCUUGCCGCCCUUCGCAAUCAACGUCCCGACAAAAUUUAUUUCCACUCAAACGUCCAACUAUCAGGUCCGUAUUGGGAGCGGUUGCUGAAGCUGAAACAGUUUUCAGAGCGGGUAGUCUUGCGGCAAAUAGAAAUGCCUAAAGAGAUAUUCAACCAGACGAUCAGAGAGGACUACCGCAUUUUUCAUGGUGGCGAUAUAGCUCGAAUUCAAGUACUCAUGCAGUUCGGCGGAAUUUUCCUCGACAACGAUUCCUACGUUGUUAAAAGUCUAGACUUCUUCCGCCACUUCGAGAUGGCUAUUGGCUGGGACGAGGAACAAUUUUUGGGGACCCAGAUAAUCGUGGCGCACCGUGAAGCGCGGUUCCUCGACCUAUGGCUCCACUCUUAUGAAGGCAUGUACGAAACAGAUUUGUGGUACUACAACGCAGGGGAACUACCAACGACGUGGAUACUGUAUCGGCGUCCGGACCUUGUGCACCGGGUGAAAGUCCUCUUCGGGAACGACGGCAAGUUCCAGCAACUGCUCUUCCAGCGCUACUGGCCUGGUUGGCGGGAGCAAUACACGUUCCACUUGCUCGCCCGAAAGGCCCAUCAAAGUGGCCUUCGCACCAUCUCACCCAAUGCUUCCUACCCGGUUGACUUCGACGAGCACAAUCUCCAGAACUACCCAAUUACCUUCCGCGAGAUGGCUAACGAGGUCCUCGAUUAUGAAAAGAUCCUCCUAAAAGAAGAUUUUGCUCUAGGCCAAGAAUCGAGCUAA
rnacentral:lncRNA from 1 species